ensembl:lncRNA
GGGAUCAGAUCGUUCCUCACUCCGUAACAUUAGAGGAGAAAUUAUUAAACUGUUCUGGGAUCAGCCUGUUCCUCACUCCGUAAUCUGUAAUAUUAGAGGAGAAACUAUAAAACUGUUCUGGGAUCAGCUCGUUCCUCACUCUGUAGUCUGUAACAUUAGAGGAGAAACUAUAAAACUGUUCUGGGAUCAGCCUGUUCCUCACACUGUAACAUUAGAGGAGAAACUAUAAAACUGUUCUGGAAUCAGCCCGUUCCUCACACUGUAAUCUGUAAUAUUAGAGGAGAAACUAUAAAACUGUUCUGGGAUCAGCCCGUUCCUCGCUCUGUAGUCUGUAACAUUAGAGGAGAAUCUAUAAUAUUGUUCUGGGAUCAGUUCGUUCGUCACACCGUAAUAUGUAAUAUUAGAGGAGAAACUAUAAAACUGUUCUGGGAUCAGCCCGUUCCUCACUCUGUAAC